rnacentral:rRNA from 1 species
AGUGAACGCUGGCGGUAGGCCUAACACAUGCAAGUCGAACGGCAGCACAGUAAGAGCUUGCUCUUACGGGUGGCGAGUGGCGGACGGGUGAGGAAUACAUCGGAAUCUACUUUUUCGUGGGGGGUAACGUAGGGGAACUUACGCUAAUACCGCAUACGACCUACGGGUGAAAGCAGGGGAUCUUCGGACCUUGCGCGAUUGAAUGAGCCGAUGUCGGAUUAGCUAGUUGGCGGGGUAAAGGCCCACCAAGGCGACGAUCCGUAGCUGGUCUGAGAGGAUGAUCAGCCACACUGGAACUGAGACACGGUCCAGACUCCUACGGGAGGCAGCAGUGGGGAAUAUUGGACAAUGGGCGCAAGCCUGAUCCAGCCAUACCGCGUGGGUGAAGAAGGCCUUCGGGUUGUAAAGCCCUUUUGUUGGGAAAGAAAAGCAGCAGGUUAAUACCCCGCUGUUCUGACGGUACCCAAAGAAUAAGCACCGGCUAACUUCGUG